rnacentral:rRNA from 1 species
GACGAACGCUGGCGGCGUGCUUAACACAUGCAAGUCGAACGGAAAGGCCCUGCUUUUGUGGGGUGCUUGAGUGGCGAACGGGUGAGUAACACGUGAGUAACCUGCCCUUGACUUUGGGAUAACUUCAGGAAACUGGGGCUAUUCCGGCAAGGGGCUCCCGCUGCCAUGUGGGGGGUGGGAAGUUUCGGCGGGUGGGGUUUGAACCCCGGCUUAUCAGCUUGUUGGUGGGGUAGGGGCUUAUCAAGGCAUUGUCGGGUAAGCGGCCUGAGAGGGUGGCCGGCCACAAUGGGACUGAGAUACGGCCCAGAGUCCUACGGGAGGCAGCAGUGGUGAAUAUUGCACAAUGGGCGGAAGCCUGAUGCAGCAACGCCGCGUGCGGGAUGACGGCCUUCGGGUUGUAAACCGCUUUCGCCUGUGACGAAGCGUGGGUGACGGUAAUGGGUAAAGAAGCACCGGCUAACUACGUG